rnacentral:lncRNA from 1 species
ACCAAGACCGUCACCCCCUGACGGUGUGAGCCCACUACUCCACACUCUUCUAGGUUUGGCUCUGAUUCCACUUGUAACUCCCCUACCGUCAUCUCUACCAAUAGACCCCAUGUUCAUUCUCAGCCUAUGGGCUCACCUCUCUUAAUGGGCUUAUAUCCCCUCACUAGGCCCAUGAGCCCACAAAUGGCUGGUAUCCUAUGUCCG